UACGUAGGGCGCAAGCGUUGUCCGGAAUUAUUGGGCGUAAAGGGCUCGUAGGCGGUUUGUCGCGUCGGGAGUGAAAACCUUGGGCUUAACUCAGGGCUUGCUUUCGAUACGGGCAGACUAGAGGUAUGCAGGGGAGAACGGAAUUCCUGGUGUAGCGGUGGAAUGCGCAGAUAUCAGGAGGAACACCAGUGGCGAAGGCGGCUCACUGGCCCGAAACUGACGCUGAGGCACGAAAGCGUGGGGAGCAAACAGG
rnacentral:rRNA from 1 species